rnacentral:rRNA from 1 species
CCUACGGGAGGCAGCAGUGAGGAAUAUUGGUCAAUGGGCGCAAGCCUGAACCAGCCAUCCCGCGUGCAGGAUGACGGCCCUAUGGGUUGUAAACUGCUUUUAUACACCAAGAAAAACCCCGACGUGUCGGGACUCGACGGUAGUGUAUGAAUAAGCAUCGGCUAACUCCGUGCCAGCAGCCACGGUAAUACGGAGGAUGCAAGCGUUAUCCGGAUUCAUUGGGUUUAAAGGGUGCGUAGGCGGCCUUUUAAGUCAGUGGUGAAAUCCUGCCGCUUAACGGUAGAAUUGCCAUUGAUACUGAAAGGCUUGAGUACAUUUGAGGUAAGCGGAAUGUGUAGUGUAGCGGUGAAAUGCUUAGAUAUUACACAGAACACCAAUUGCGAAGGCAGCUUACUAAACUGUUACUGACGCUGAUGCACGAAAGCGUGGGGAGCGAACAGGAUUAGAUACCCUGGUAGUCCACGCCGUAAACGAUGCUCACUCGCUGUUUGCGAUACACAGCAAGCGGCCAAGCGAAAGCAUUAAGUGAGCCACCUGGGGAGUACGAUCGCAAGGUUGAAACUCAAAGGAAUUGACGG